UACGUAGGGUGCGAGCGUUGUCCGGAAUUAUUGGGCGUAAAGAGCUCGUAGGCGGCUUGUCGCGUCGGAUGUGAAAGCCCGGGGCUUAACUCCGGGUCUGCAUUCGAUACGGGCAGGCUAGAGUUCGGUAGGGGAGAUCGGAAUUCCUGGUGUAGCGGUGAAAUGCGCAGAUAUCAGGAGGAACACCGAUGGCGAAGGCAGGUCUCUGGGCCACUACUGACGCUGAGAAGCGAAAGCAUGGGGAGCGAACAGG
rnacentral:rRNA from 1 species